GCUAAAGGCUUCUGAUAUUCUGUAGAAGGGGCCCCAUGUGAUCCAUCCUCUACGUCUCCACAGACACAGAGGACAACUGCUCUGCUGAGGUCAACAUUUAAAUGGAUGAGCUAAACGAAGUGCAAGAGGAAGAGGGACAGACACAGGGGAGACCUUACAGAGCACAGUGCACUGCAAUGAUUGCCUGUCCAGCAGCUGGCGGAGAAGGGGUGCCAGGAGGUCCUUCUCCUCAGAUGGGCUUGCUUCACAUCGUCCUUGGCCCUUUAAGGAAUACUCUGUGCAUGAGGCAUGCCAGAUGCAAUAUGUUGGAAUGUGGAAAUCUUCCUCCUAAGUACUGUUCUGAGACCAGAACCUGCACCCUUGCCUCACUGAUACUGCUGCAGAAGUGCUAGCUGUUGCUGAGGUAAAAAAAUUCCUUUUGAAAGGUUAGAUUCUUCAAGUUUUGUAGUGGCUGAAAUAGAUGAUGUGU
rnacentral:lncRNA from 1 species